rnacentral:rRNA from 1 species
UGGGGAAUUUUGCACAAUGGGGGAAACCCUGAUGCAGCGACGCCGCGUGAUUUAGAAGGCCUUCGGGUUGUAAAAAUCUUUUCUAUGGGAAGAAAAUGACAGUACCAUAGGAAUAAGGACCGGCUAAUUACGUGCCAGCAGCCGCGGUAAUACGUAAGGUCCGAGCGUUGUCCGGAAUCAUUGGGCGUAAAGGGUACGUAGGCGGGUAAGCAAGUUAGAAGUGAAAUCCUGUAGCCCAACUACAGUAAGCUUUUAAAACUGCUCAUCUUGAGAUAUGGAAGGGAAAGUGGAAUUCCUAGUGUAGCGGUGAAAUGCGCAGAUAUUAGGAGGAAUACCGGUGGCGAAGGCGACUUUCUGGCCAUAAUCUGACGCUGAGGUACGAAAGCGUGGGUAGCAAACAGG